rnacentral:rRNA from 1 species
GAGUUUGAUCAUGGCUCAGGACGAACGCUGGCGGCGUGCCUAACACAUGCAAGUCGAGCGAUGAAGCUCCUUCGGGAGUGGAUUAGCGGCGGACGGGUGAGUAACACGUGGGUAACCUGCCUCAUAGAGGGGAAUAGCCUCCCGAAAGGGAGAUUAAUACCGCAUAAUGUAUGAGAAUCGCAUGAUUUUUGUACCAAAGGAGCAAUCCGCUAUGAGAUGGACCCGCGGCGCAUUAGCUAGUUGGUGAGGUAAAGGCUCACCAAGGCGACGAUGCGUAGCCGACCUGAGAGGGUGAUCGGCCACAUUGGAACUGAGACACGGUCCAGACUCCUACGGGAGGCAGCAGUGGGGAAUAUUGCGCAAUGGGGGAAACCCUGACGCAGCAACGCCGCGUGAAUGAAGAAGGCCUUAGGGUUGUAAAGUUCUGUCAUAUGGGAAGAUAAUGACGGUACCAUAUGAGGAAGCCACGGCUAACUACGUGCCAGCAGCCGCGGUAAUAC